GAUGAACGCUGGCGGCGUGCCUAAUACAUGCAAGUCGAGCGAACAGAUGAGGAGCUUGCUCCUCUGACGUUAGCGGCGGACGGGUGAGUAACACGUGGAUAACCUACCUAUAAGACUGGGAUAACUUCGGGAAACCGGAGCUAAUACCGGAUAAUAUAUUGAACCGCAUGGUUCAAUAGUGAAAGACGGUUUUGCUGUCACUUAUAGAUGGAUCCGCGCCGCAUUAGCUAGUUGGUAAGGUAACGGCUUACCAAGGCGACGAUGCGUAGCCGACCUGAGAGGGUGAUCGGCCACACUGGAACUGAGACACGGUCCAGACUCCUACGGGAGGCAGCAGUAGGGAAUCUUCCGCAAUGGGCGAAAGCUUGACGGAGCAACGCCGCGUGAGUGAUGAAGGUCUUCGGAUCGUAAAACUCUGUUAUUAGGGAAGAACAAAUGUGUAAGUAACUAUGCACGUCUUGACGGUACCUAAUCAGAAAGCCACGGCUAACUACGUA
rnacentral:rRNA from 1 species